GGGGUUAUGGCUCAGCAGUAGAGCGCUUGCCUCCAUGUGCAAGGCCCUGGGUUCAAUCCCCAGCACUACA
rnacentral:tRNA from 1 species